UACAGAGGGUGCGAGCGUUUGUUCGGAAUUAUUGGGCGUAAAGCGCUUGUAGGCGGCUUGUUAAGUUCCGUGUGAAAUCCCUCGGCUUAACCGGGGGAACUGCAUCUGAUACUGGAUGGCUUGAGUUCGGGAGAGGGAUGCGGAAUUCCAGGUGUAGCGGUGAAAUGCGUAGAUAUCUGGAGGAACACCGGUGGCGAAGGCGGCAUCCUGGACCGACACUGACGCUGAGGAGCGAAAGCCAGGGGAGCAAAGCGGG
rnacentral:rRNA from 1 species